rnacentral:lncRNA from 12 species
GUCACACCUUCCCCACCUGGCCACACCUUCCCCCUGGUCACACCUUCCACCUGGGGACACACGGUGCCAGGGUAUCCCACAUCCUUCCCAUGGAAUGCACUCAGGCUAGCAAGGAAAGCUCGUUCCUGAGCAGACUGAAACCAGCAAAACCUCUGCAGUGCUUUUGGAAAAGCAUUUACACAUCAGCAAGUCAUGAACACUGUUCAACAUUCCCCAGCUCCUCUCCUCAGGGAACUUCCACCUGGGCCAGCCCUGCUGGAGGUGUGCAGGGCCAGGAGGAGCAGAUCCCUGUUCCUGNGGUUACCUGGGCCAGGUGCUGUGUGUGUGUGUGUGUGUGUGUGUGUGUGUGUGUGUGUGUGUGUGUGUGUGUGUGUGUGUGUGUGUGUGUGUGUGUGUGUGUGUGUGUGUGUGUGUGUGUGUGUGUGUGUGUGUGUGUGUGUGUGUGUGUGUGUGUGUGUGUGUGUGUGUGUGUGUGUGUGUGUGUGUGUGUGUGUCACAGCCCUGCUGCAGAUGUGCAGGGCCAGGAGGAGCAGAUCCCUGCUCCUGGGGAUGCUCCUGGGGAUGUUCCUGGGUUACCUGGGCCAGGUGCUGUGUGUGUGUGUGUGACACAGCCCUGCUGGAGCCGUGCAGAGCCCAGAGGAGCAGAUCCCUGCUCCUGGGGAUGCCCCUGGGGAUGUUCCUGGGUUACCUGGGCCAGGUGCUGUGUGUGUGUGUGUGACACAGCCCUGCUGGAGCCGUGCAGAGCCCAGAGGAGCAGAUCCCUGCUCCUGGGGAUGCCCCUGGGGAUGUUCCUGGGUUACCUGGGCCAGGUGCUGUGUGUGUGUGUGUGACACAGCCCUGCUGGAGCCGUGCAGAGCCCAGAGGAGCAGAUCCCUGCUCCUGGGGAUGCCCCUGGGGAUGUUCCUGGGUUACCUGGGCCAGGUGCUGUGUGUGUGUGUGUGACACAGCCCUGCUGGAGCCGUGCAGAGCCCAGAGGAGCAGAUCCCUGCUCCUGGGGAUGCCCCUGGGGAUGUUCCUGGGUUACCUGGGCCAGGUGCUGUGUGUGUGUGUGUGACACAGCCCUGCUGGACACAGGUCAGAGCCCAUCCCAUCCCUGAGCCCAAGCAGCAGGGCUGGCUCUGGCAGUUCCUGGGUCCCUCCCUGUGCCCCUCUGCUCAAGGGAGGCAGGAAUGAAACACCCAGCACAUGGAUGGAAGCACAGAACCCCCCCUGGAGCCAAGGAACCUCCUGAGCUGGAGGGGAUCCCAGGGAUGACCUGCAGAGACCCCCCAGAUGCCAGCCUGGACCCCUGGCAGCGCUGUCCCAACACUCCUGGAGCUCUGGGGGCCUGGACUGUGCCCUGCUCAGUGCCCAGCACCCUCUGGGGAAGGACCUGGGAUCCCCCUGACCCUCCCUGCCGGGGCUUCUCCCCAGAGAAGGGAUCCAGAGGCUGGAAUGCCCCUUCCCUGAGAGGAAUCCACACCCACCUCUGCUCUGAGCCAGCCACAAGGAAAGGGUUCUGUAGCUGCAAAAGGCAUUGGAAGAGGAUGAGGAGAAUUCCUCCAUAACAACUACCACAAGGUCCAUUUAACCCUUAACAAGAGAGAACAGAAUUCUGCCUUUCCCACCCAUCCCAUGGCACAUCCCAGGAGGCAGCAGUGGGAUGGGAGCAUUUGCAAAAGGACAGGCAUGUACAAAACGCUGCUAUUUUUAACAAAAUUUAAAGUCUUCCCACUGCCUCAGUUACUUUAUCAUGGUGGAUCAGAAAUAUCAACCCAGAUGAGCUAAAUUCAACCUUUUAUAUAAGUUAGAACUUCCCUCAAGACUUCAGUGAUAAAGGAAGAGUUUGAGCCGUUGGAAUUAAGAAAAGCAGCAUUUCCCAGGGUACCUGCACUGCUGACAGGAGAACAGAACAACCACAAACCAUUCCCUAGUGUCCACUCAUUCAAUUCUGGGAUUUAUUCAGCCUCUUCCCACCUGCUCUAAGAGCAGUCCCAACAAAAUCCCAGAAUUCCUGAGGCUGGAAAAGCCCCCCAGUCCCAGCUGUGCCUGAUCCCCUCCUUGUCCCCAGCCCAGAGCACUCAGUGCCACCCCCAGGAAUUCCCCGGACACCUCCAGGGAUGGAUGGGCACUCCAACCCUCCCUGGGAGCCC